rnacentral:rRNA from 1 species
AUGCUAACUUCCGGGGCUUGGUCGCCGACAAGGCAAUCCUUUUCCAGGUUCCCACCACGAGAGGAGUUCGCCGACAGCCAUAUGCAUCACACCAGGAUGUUCCCUGAGGUUCAUGGGAGGCGUGAUAUGACUGACAAGAGUGGGAACAUACUUCCAGGAACUGUGGUUGACCUCAUGAUUUGCCACCCUACAGAGUUUGAUUUCUACUUGUGCAGCCAAGCUGGCAUUCAGGGAACUAGCAUGCCAACACACUACCAUUUUCUUUAUGAUGAGAAUCACUUCACAGCCGAUGCGCUUCAGUCACUGACCAACAAUCUCUGCUACACGUAA